rnacentral:rRNA from 1 species
AGCAGCCGCGGUAAUUCCAGCUCCAAUAGCGUAUAUUAAAGUUGUUGCAGUUAAAAAGCUCGUAGUUGAAUUUCGGGGUUAGUAGGUUGGUCAUGCCUCCGGUAUGUACUGAUCUCACUGAUUCCUCCUUCCUUAUGAACCGUAAUGCCAUUAAUUUGGUGUUGCGGGGAAUUUGGACUGUUACUUUGCAAAAAUUAGAGUGUUUAAAGCAAGCUAACGCUUGAAUACAUUAGCAUGGAAUAAUGAAAUAGGACGUUCGAUCUUAUUUUGUUGGUUUCUAGGAUUGACGUAAUGAUUAAUAGGGAUAGUUGGGGGCAUUAGUAUUCAAUUGUCAGAGGUGAAAUUCUUGGAUUUAUUGAAGACUAACUACUGCGAAAGCAUUUGCCAAGGAUGUUUUCAUUAAUCAAGAACGAAAGUUAGGGGAUCGAAGACGAUCAGAUACCGUCGUAG